UGAAACUUUAAAUCUAUCCUCAUAAAAAUAAUUUUGACAUAUUUUCAAGUUUUCAUAAUUUUCUGACACUAUGAAUUUUCUGCUAAAAUAUCAGUCCCGUUUCUCACAGAAAAUUCUAAAUCUUCUGUUUCCGUUCCGAUUGUAGCACAAGUCGUUUCCGACUUAUGUUUUACUUCUUUAAGUCCAAUAAAAAUAGUAUCUCACAGUAUUUUUAUUUAUAUUUACUUUUAUAUUAAAAUUCGGUACAUUACAUUGCUCGACACCCACUUGAGCCAACGUCGCCUGCUGUUGCGU
rnacentral:lncRNA from 1 species